rnacentral:rRNA from 1 species
UACGUAGGGUGCAAGUGUUAAUCGGAAUUACUGGGCGUAAAGCGUGCGCAGGCGGUUAUGUAAGACAGAUGUGAAAUCCCCGAGCUUAACUCGGGAACUGCCUUCGAUACUGCUUGGCUUGAGUCCGGGAGGGGAGAGCGGAAUUCCCAGUGUAGCGGUGAAAUGCGUAGAUAUUGGGAGGAACAUCGGUGGCGAAGGCGGCUCUCUGGACCGGUUCUGACGCUGAGGCGCGAAAGCGUGGGUAGCAAACAGGAUUAGAAACCCUAGUAGU